CUAUCUCUAGAAUGAUUCCACUGCCUAGGAACUAUAUUUUUGGAAAUGGCUCAUAUGGAACGACUAACAAUGAAGGGAUAAUCGAACAAGUUCGGAGUCGAAGAGUUGAAAGUGGAAGUGAGAUAGACAACAAAAAACAAUAUCUGCUUGAUUUGGAGAAGAUGCUAGGACUACUUUAAUGAUUAAAAACAUCCCAAACAAGUAUACCUCAGGGAUGCUACUCACAGCAAUUGAUGAGACUCAUAAGAAUACAUAUGAUUUUCUCUACUUGCCUAUUGACUUCAAGAACAAAUGUAACGUUGGUUACGCCUUCAUCAACAUGGUGUCUCCGCAC